rnacentral:sRNA from 1 species
GCCGUACUGGUUAGAUCGGGAUACUCGUCAAAUUACUACAGAAAACCGAGAACGCCGUGUAUGUCGAUGGCGGGCCAUUAAUGCACUUUAUACGCAGUGUUUACAUUGCAUGUGCAGAAGCUGUAUAGCCGAUGGAUUACAAAGCGACAUGGCACUCAUAUAUUUUUAAUAUAUCGGAGUUUUCAUCACAAUCACAGUACGGCCCUUUU